rnacentral:rRNA from 1 species
CCUACGGGUGGCUGCAGUGGGGAAUAUUGGACAAUGGGGGGAACCCUGAUCCAGCCAUGCCGCGUGUGUGAAGAAGGCCCUCGGGUUGUAAAGCACUUUCAGUGAGGAAGAACGCCUGGUGGUUAAUACCCAUCAGGAAAGACAUCACUCACAGAAGAAGCACCGGCUAACUCCGUGCCAGCAGCCGCGGUAAUACGGAGGGUGCGAGCGUUAAUCGGAAUUACUGGGCGUAAAGCGCGCGUAGGUGGCUUGAUAAGUCGGUUGUGAAAGCCCCGGGCUCAACCUGGGAACGGCAUCCGGAACUGUCAAGCUAGAGUGCAGGAGAGGAAGGUAGAAUUCCCGGUGUAGCGGUGAAAUGCGUAGAGAUCGGGAGGAAUACCAGUGGCGAAGGCGGCCUUCUGGACUGACACUGACACUGAGGUGCGAAAGCGUGGGUAGCAAACAGGAUUAGAUACCCGAGUAGUC